UACGGGGGGGCAAGCGUUGUUCGGAAUUACUGGGCGUAAAGGGCUCGUAGGCGGCCAACUAAGUCAGACGUGAAAUCCCUCGGCUUAACCGGGGAACUGCGUCUGAUACUGGAUGGCUUGAGUUUGGGAGAGGGAUGCGGAAUUCCAGGUGUAGCGGUGGAAAUGCGUAGAUAUCUGGAGGAACACCGGUGGCGAAGGCGGCAUCCUGGACCAACACUGACGCUGAGUGAGCGAAAGCCAGGGGAGCAAACGGG
rnacentral:rRNA from 1 species